rnacentral:tRNA from 1 species
GGGAAAGUAUGCCUAGCGGCGAGGGCAUCUGACUGUAAAUCAGACACAUUAGAAACAACGGCGGUUCAAAUCCGCCCUUUCCCU